rnacentral:rRNA from 1 species
AUUAUUUUAAGCUAUAUAUUAGGAGUAAAUAAAAUUUAUGAAAUUAAAAAAUUUUGGCGGUAUUUUAAGCUUAUUAGAGGAAUUUGCUCUGUGAUGGACACAACGCCUUAAUCUUACUUAAUUUAGUAAUUUAAAUCAGUUUGUAUACCACUAUAUUAAUUAUAUUGAAUAGUUAUAUUUAAAAUUUUUUUAAAAAAAAAUAUAUUAAGUCAAGGUGCAUCUAAUAAUUAUGAAUGAAGUGAAUUACAUUAAUUUUAAUGUAAUUUUUUACAUGAAAAAAUUAAUUAGGAUUUAAUAGUAAAAUACUAAUAUUAUGAGUAUUUGAAUCAAGCUCUAAAAUAUGCAC